GUCCACGCCGUAAACGAUGAAUGCCAGCCGUUGGCGAGCUUGCUCGUCAGUGGCGCAGCUAACGCUUUAAGCAUUCCGCCUGGGGAGUACGGUCGCAAGAUUAAAACUCAAAGGAAUUGACGGGGGCCCCGCACAAGCGGUGGAGCAUGUGGUUUAAUUCGAAGCAACGCGCAGAACCUUACCAGCCUUUGACAUGUCCGGUUUGGAUCUUGGAGACAGGAUCCUUCAGUUCGGCUGGCCGGAACACAGGUGCUGCAUGGCUGUCGU
rnacentral:rRNA from 1 species